GUAGGGGGUGGGAGAGGGGAGGAAAAGAGAGCAAAUAGGAGGAAUGUAGAGAAAAAGAAUUACGAAAGAAAAGAAACGCAAAAGAACAGUAAUGCAGAGAAAAAGAGAUACAGGGUCCAGCCGGCCCCAACAGCCCGCACCGAACGCCAGGGAGCGAAUGGCUCAGCCCCGCCCUCCCCGCGGUUUAAAUCCCCCACGGCCCCGCCCCGCGCAGCCGCGCUGGGGCCCCGCGCACCUGCGCGCGCCCCUCUGCUGGCCCCGCCCCCCCGCCCGUAAAUGGCGGCGGAUCCGCGCCCGCCCCGCGUCCUGCGGGGGAUGCUCGGCCCGGGCUGCGGCGGGACCGGCGCUCGGAGCGCCGUGCGGAGAUCCGUAUCGGGGCUGCUCCCGGCGCUGCGCGGCGUCCGAGGCCCUCAGCUCCUGAGCAGUGUCAGGGCCACCGGGAGGGCGUUCAAACCCAAAAAAUCCCCACAGCCCACGGAGUGAAUGAUCCCAGCAGAGAAACGCAGCGUUGUAAUAAAGAACUUGGAGCUCUGUGGAAAAGGCUCUGA
rnacentral:lncRNA from 1 species